rnacentral:rRNA from 1 species
AUUGAACGCUGGCGGCAGGCCUAACACACGCAGGUCGAGCGGGGUUUUCGGACCUAGCGGCGGACGGGUGAGUAAUGCGUAGGAAGCUACCCGAUAGAGGGGGAUACCAGUUGGAAACGACUGUUAAUACCGCAUAAUGUCUACGGACCAAAGUGUGGGACCUUCGGGCCACAUGCUAUCGGAUGCGCCUACGUGGGAUUAGCUAGUUGGUGAUGUAAUGACUAACCAAGGCCAUGAUCCCUAGCUGGUUUGAGAGGAUGAUUAUCCACACUGGAACUGGAACACGGUCCAGACUCCUACGGGAGGAAGCAGUGGGGAAUAUUGGAAAAUGGGCGCAAGCCUGAUCCAGCCAUGCCGCGUGUGUGAAGAAGGCCUUCGGGUUGUAAAGCACUUUCAGUAGGGAGGAAGCGUUGUGUGUUAAUAGUACACAGCGUUGACGUUACCUACAGAAGAAGCACCGGCUAACUCUGUGCCAGCCGCCGCCGUAACAC